AAAGAUAUGGUAUCUAUUUUUUGCUUUUCUUUAAGGAAGGAAAAUAGGAGUUGCUUAUACCGAGAAAGAAAAUUUUAUUCUCCAACACCCCCCCCCAUUCUACUAAACCGUUUUAGUCGACAUAUGUUUGUUAUCAGAGAGAGGUGCUGUGAACACACAGCCAUUUUCUUAGCAGCUUUUUGACUGUAUGUUACCAUAGUCCCACAAGGCAUUGGUCCUUUCCCAUUGGGAAGUCAUGAAUAAGAGACUAUGAAGCUUGCACGUCAGAUCUUCCUCAAUUAAUCCACCAUUAGCAUGUUUGGGAUCCACUACUGGAUGGUUAACAGCAGCUUUUGUAACUGUAUGCCGACCAUACCCAAUUAUGCUCUGCUAAAAAUGAACUCUUUGCAGACCAACCCUCUCGGGCUGUCAGUGUUUUCCGUUUUCCUAUUUUAACGUUUGUGUAUAGUGGCAGGCGACAGAUGGUGUAGAUCAGAUCGAUUUGAUUGCAUUAGAUGAUUUUUUUUUUUCCUUUCCCCACUCCUUUCUGGAAGCUCGCAUCAGCUGAAGGCUAUCGCCUGGGACUCCUUGGAAGCGUGAGCAAGCCGCCACCACGCGAAGGCACUGGGGCACAGCCAGCGCGAGGCACCGAGGUCCCUUCCCAGGGCUUGUUAACACUGUAACCCGGCACUCCGAAGGAAGCAGCUCCCACUGCCCAGAGCCUACCUCACCGCUCAUCAGAUGACUCUGGUUUCCACACACGGUUGGAGUCCCGCUUGAAACCUGGAUUUAGAGGGGCUCUCUCGCUGCCAUGACACUCAAUCAAAGCACCUAGAGUGGGCUGGCCGAGACCAGAGCGGGUACCGAGCAGAACAAGUCCAGAGGAAGGCACUGGGAGAGCACCAGAAUUGGAAAUAGAGCAGCCAUUUGGAUUUGGGCAGGAAGCAGCAGAGCACAGCUUUGGAUCCUUCUUUAGGGAAAUCGAGUUAUGGAUUUAUGGUCCCGGUCAAGCUCAGCCCAGCCCCAGCCAGGGGCGGGCUCAGCAGCAAGAGUUCUGGUGGCGGCGGCGGCAGUAGCAGCGGCAGCGGUAGCAGCGGCAGCAGCAGCUUGGUCCUCUGACUCUCUUCGGUGACGGGUAUUCUUGGGUGGAUAAUACGGAUUACGUUGUUAUUGCUUAAGAAUACGCGUAGUCGAGGAGAGUACCAGCGGCAGGCGGGCAGCGGCCGCCCCUUCAGCCCACCAGCUGGCCUCUAAACGCCUGUGGUUGCCAAGGUAGCACUUUUUUGAUCUUUUCCUUUCCUCGUUGUUUUCGCUCUGGGUCGCGUGUUAGUUGAUUAGUAGACACAUCCCACCAGAAAGGCUCUGCGCGCCCUGCCUCUGGUGACUGGGGCUGUAGAAUGGGUCCGCACAGGGGCGCGGGGGUCCAGGAGGAGGGGAGGGGCGGGGAAAGGAUGGGUGUCUGCUCAGCGGAGCCUGCGCGGAGUUUUGGCGUCCCCGGCCUGCUCUUUUCCUCUCCUCGCUGGGGUGUGGCUUGGGGGAGAGACGGGGACUGAGCGAGCCUCUAAAGUUGGGAAUGACUGAAAGGCCUUGAGCAGUUUGGCAGCUUCGCGAGCGAGAAGCAGGAGCUCCGCAGAGGGUCGCUAGGGGCUGCCUCCGCAGAAAGGGCGUGUCCGUGGGCGAAGGUGCCCCCGCAAGCUGCGGAAGCUCGUGACUUCGCGAAUCCCGGCCUGGGGCGGUGCCGGAGCCCCACCCCCGCGGCGGUGCCACUGCGCAGCUAGAAGUGGAGACCCGGGCUGAGCACUGGGGGUGGGGGAGUGGGGCGGAGUGGGGGGGGGGAGGGGGGGAGAAUGACAGAGGCCUGGGUCCGCGCAGAACUUCCAGAUUGGAAGCGUGUGGCGGGUCUCCUGAGGGACCCAUACUUUCUUUGCGGAUUCUCCGCGAAGGGGUGGAGAAACAGAAUGAGAAGCGGAUUGGUUGCGGUGUGGCACAGAGCUGGAACCUUCCUGAAAGUGGUUGGGGCAGGCAGUGACUGUUCAGCCGUCCAGUUUCUUUGGGACACCUCUUCAGCGCUGUCUUCCCUGCCUCUGCUUUUAGGACGAGUCUCAAACACCAACAAACCCAAGGCAUGUUCCCCCUCUCAGGUCUGCUGCGAAGGGACGAGAGGAAGAGCGAGCCUUUCCCUUUUACCACUUGCAGUUUUGUUUGUUUGUUUCGAAUACUAAUGGACGAUAAAACCAUACGGAUGUGCCCCCUCCUAGUGAAGAGCAAGCAACUACCCACCGAUCCCCCCCCAAGCACGCCCAGACACUCCCGGGGACAACCGGAUAUGGCAGGAGUUGAGAUGCCCAAGAUGGAGCUGGGAGAGUUGAUCCACCAUACAGGAGGAGGAGGGUCGAGGAGGCUGGAGCUCCCAGCUCUUGCCGGCAGCGGACCACGCAGCUCUGCACCUCUCCUUUCCUCCUUGCGAGGCGCCAGGGCCCUCCCGGUCGUGGCACUUCAAAGGUAGGAGGAGAAAAUGCUGGGGACAAGAAUGCACUGGCGGCCAGAAGGUUCCACUAGGGUCAGCAAGAGCCUGCUGGGACUCUAAAUCCAGGUUUCCUCCCUGCGUGGUGCCGUCGGUGGUGCAAGGGAUGCGAAGACUGAAUUUCUGAGAAGUCGAAGCUGCAGGAGAAAACAAACAAAAACAACAAAAUGGGAAGCCUGCGACGCUCUCUCGCGCGGCGUUCCCAGACCAGCUCUAAGCUAAGCUACGCCCCAGACACCUUUUCCCUUUGGAGGACGCCUUUCCUGGGCGCGACGUGCACGUACCCGCACUGAGUUCUUGCCAACAAGGGCAGCUCUGAGCCCUGGAGAGCGAGGUGCUUCGAAGAAGGCAGGCACACUCGCAUGCUUUCCCAUGUAGAGCUUUGCGUUUCUUUUAGUACUUUGGAUUCCUAGUGAGGGGUACAAGGCGCCACUCCUCUCCUGACCCUAUUUCCACUACACCGCGUCUGAUCCCACAGUUACUCGCGGGGUAUCUACACUCACAGCUUUUGAGCUCAGGGAAAGUUGUUUGCGAGGAAAAUGAGUGGGGACCUUCUGAGAAGCUCCCAGGGCAAGUCCCUUUAAGGAAGGAAUUGAAGUAGAAAAGAAAGCACAAAUAUGGUAUCUCUGCACUCGACAUUCUCUCACUAGCAAGAGAAUGUGUGACUACUGUUCUUCCCUUCAUUGUUCCAUGAAUUAUCCUCUUUCCAUAGGGAUACACCAGUUGGUGAUUAAGGGCUUGUUAUGUAUUCAACAAAAUUCAAUAUGUCUGCUGGUGGCAUUGUUUUAUUGGGAAAUUGGGAAAGUAGAGAGCCACAUAAUCUAGUAACUAGGUGAUCUUUGGAAAGUUAGCCUCAUGCUGCUGGUUGACUAGUAAGUGUAUAAGAUUUGAAAGAAAGGAAGCUGGGGGCCUAGUGAUAGAGUUUUCCGGAAAUGAAAGGUAAUACUCUGGCAUUCGUUGAGAGACUGAGGAAGAACUUUUAAAAACAAGCUAUUUCAUUCAGUUCUUUGCCAGUGGGACUUUAGCUUAUGAUUGCAUUUGCUUCAUAAAUGAAUAAUACUUUUUUAAGUGGAAUAAUUGUAAAUGUUAGUGAUGAAAUCUAAAGGAAACCUCUACUCAUCUCAUGGUCAACAACAAGUAUUUGAUUUUCUUGGUUCAAGUGGUUUCAAUACUUAUCUCAUUGCUCUCUUUCCUUUGCAGAAUUAUCUUCUUAUAAAAGUUUCCAUUAGGUGUCAGUCUGACUGAGCUGGUUCCUAUUUAAAUUUGAAAAGAAAAUAAAACAUUUUUUAAAAACUAAAUUGGGCCUUUAUAGAUAAGGGGGGAAGGCCCAAAACUUUAUUCAGUUGAAAUUGCUGUAGUUAAUUGUUUUAUUACAGUCAACUUGUUUUCCUCAGAAAAGAGAAUUUGAAAGUAUAUCACUACAAGCUGGUUGUCACUUUUGCCCUGUCAGUAUUCAUAGACAAGAUUAAAGAAGUGCAAAGUGAUUGUGUGUGUUUUUCAAGCUAGAUCCAAGUGAUUUUAAGAAAUUAUAAUACCUGGAUUUUCAGUUGAUGUCCAAAUACUAGAAGGAUAUACAACGUUUUUCUAAAAUUUGGUUUGCUUUACAAAAGUGAUAGAAUUUCUACCUGAGAAAAGCAUAUGGAUACAGCUUAGACUAUUCUUUGAUAGUAAUACAUAGGGCACAAUGGAGGGGGAGGGAGAAAACUUAUGAAAAUUUCCUUUUUUUACUACUAUUUUUACUUUAGUUAUCUCCACCUAUGUACUCAAAAUUUUAUGAACACAGUUUCUGGCUUAGAGGUGGAAGAUUUUAGGUUUCCCAUUGAGAUUUGUAUACUGUCUGUGAACACUCACAUUUAUACUGUGAUAUUCAUUAGUAGGUGUAAAAUACAUGAUCUUGGUUAAUGGUUUACUACUGAGUCUCAGGUAAGGAGUUUGAUGGAAACCGUUUUACAAACAAUUUACUGAUUUUAUUCCUUGUGUCUGUGAAUUGUGUUCUGAUACUGUUGCUUGAAUAGACCUGCAGGGAGUGGUGGUAUUCAUGAUUAAAGAUCCCUUGAGGAUCAUGCCAACCUCUAUGUGAAUAUUACACUGUUUAAUCAUGAAUACACACACACAUACACACACACAUAUGUAUGUAUGUGUAUUAGGCAGAUGAUUCUGGACAAGUACAUUUUUAAAUAAAUAAUCAUGUCCUGGAACCAGGAUUUCUCCCCAAGUCCACUGUUUGCUUUAGAAUGAUAUGGUUCUUGGUGUCACAGCAGUGCCAAUCUAGAACCAGAAAAGAACUGUCAAUGAAUGUCCAGGUAAAGGAGAGCAAUGAGGAAGUAGCAUUUUGAUGGAAAGAAAAUUCCAUAAACUAUACAAACAUUUUUGUUUUUAUUAUAUUGCACAUCAGUAAUGGUAAUUUUUCAAAAAUAAAAAUAGACUUUUUUGUCUAGGUAUAUAUUGAGGAAAAUUUUGUGUUUUUAUGUAAGAUACAGGAGAAGGUCUAAAGAUAUAGAAGACAGUAUAAGACCGUCACAAUUAUUCACCAACUUUUUAAUAAUACAGUUUUAGUGGCCAUAAUACCAUAGAAAUGACAGAACGAUGAUUUUACACUGUUAGAGAGUAGUGUAAUCUGCACAUAUGAAGGUACAUUUAUUUUGGUAAUAAACAUUUUUAAUUAAAAAUAAAACAUAUUAGUGAUAGAAUACUUCAAAACUUUUUUAUUAUUGUAUUUAGCUAUCACAUUUAGUUAUUGGUUGCUAUACACUUAUUAACAUAAAUGCUAAAUAGCUUUUAAGCAAAAAGUUUUAUAGUAUAAUUUUUAAAAAAAUGUUUUGAGAUUUUUCUCUUGACACUUAUAUUUUAAAUGACUUAUAAUUCUUCAAUUUCAAUCUAUAAAACACUGUGUGAAUGUAUAAGCUUUUUAAUUGAAAAAACAUUGCAAUCAUCCAAAAAUUAUCGGUUAAAAAACAGAUAUUGUGAAAUUCUAAGUUUCUUGAACUAUAUUUAGUACCUGGUGAUUAGUUGAGUUUGUUAAGUGUAGUUUAACAACAGAACCAAUGGAUCUCUAAUAUUUGUAUUGUUGCCCAGAUUAAAAAUAUAUGAAUACCCAAAUCUUUUGAGUUCUGAGUUCAAUUAUAUUCUGAUUAAUAAUGAGAGCUAUGUAAGACAGUCUUCAAAAUCAACAAAAAAUAUUUUACUAGCUCUAUAAGUGCAAAGACAAAGAUUUUCAUUUGCUGUGUUUGUGGAAAUACCUUUUGAGGCUCGGUGACAUGCACACUGUCUGCAAAUUUACACACCUACUACCUACAGCUAGAACCAAAAGUUAAAAAACAAAAACAAAAAAACCCCUAAGAAUAAACUAUAAACUUUAUAACAUUCAAAGGAUUUUAAAUAAGGUUUACUCUAUUUAUUUUAUUAGCUUCAAAUUAGUACCGAAUCUCAGUUAAAUUUCACACUAAAAACUACAUAUAUCGCCAUAAUCUAUUUACUAAUACUAUGUUCUUGGUUAAUAUACAGUUAAUAUCAUAAUACAGUUUUUAAAAAGUUGACAAAUUAUAUUACAAUAGUGGCAUAAUUGCAUAAUUUGAAAAUAGUGUCUUUUUUAAAACUUGAAUUAAAUAUGUGCUCUUAGGAGACAUUGUUUCCAAAAAAUAUUUUUGUAACAAUGAUAUAAUUUAAUUGGAAAAUUGAUACUCUUGAAAUUUUUUGUUUCUUUAAAUUUAUGUCCAAAUACCUGAGGGAAAAGUAAUUGUUUGAGGUCUAUUUUUAUAUUUGUGAGCAAAAUGUGGCCAAUUUCAUGGAUUAGUUCAAACAAGUCCCAAGAUCAACUAAAGUUACUUAUUUAAGAUAGUUUCUGUAUAUCUACCAAACAUUCCAUUUAUUUUUGGAAUCUAAGAAGAAUGAAUGAAUAAAUGAAUGUCAUAACUGAUACUCUGAGAAACAUGCAUGCAAAAUAUUUUCUUUUGUAACAGAAAUAUAUUAGGGUAAGACUUCUAAAUAUUUUGGAUUGUUUUAUGCACAACUACAGGGGAAUUAAAUUUUAAAAUGCUUACUAUGGGUCCAGUUUCAUGCACAAUUUAUUUACUCUUUUAAAGAGGCUUUGUAAGUGUUUACAAAGACAAAGCAAAUUACAGAAUUGAGGCAGUUCUAUGGAAAAACCUCAAAUCUCAUUUUUUCCUCUGUUAUAUGAUGCUUGAGGUGAAAAGAACUUUGGAAUAAAAGCUGGAAAAUCUGAUUUUGAGUACAGGGUCAGUUGUGAAUGAUGACAAUGGACAAACCACAAAGCUUGCCUGGCCCUCGGUGUCUCAUGCACAACAAGGAGGGCUAGAUUUAUAGUCUCUCAAGGUCCUUCUACCUGCUAUGGACUCCAUUUAAAAGAAAGCCUUUUGCUGGGGGGGGGGGGGGCCUGCUAAAUUCUUCUCUUCAUUUUAUAUGUGGAUGGUGUGCAAAUCAAUAGCACAACUAAGAAAGAAGCUUUAAAAAAGACAAAUCUUUCAAAUGCACCCACCAGCAUAUUUUAUCUUGAUAGCAAACAGGAAAAUGGUCUUCAAGGUUUUUACUUAAAUUUUUAAAACAUGAAAUACAUGGAAACAUAUUUGUCACUUCUUUGCCAUUCAGUUUCUAUUUGAAGUUUUGGCAGGAAAGAAAAUCCCCAAAGAAUGACUUACAGAUUCAUCCUAGUGUGUUAUUGUGAAAAUGCAUGUAUUCGCUAUAUGUGUAAUGUAUCUGAGGCUCUCUAAACCAGGGAUCCACCUCAGAAACAUUUCAACUUAAAAAGACCAAAUCGCAAAUAACUCUUUUCAAAGUCAAUGUAUAUAAUUGUAGUUCAUGAAGAAUAAGCACUGGGCCUUUUAAAAUGUUUGUUCUGUGUGUAAAUGUUUAUGCUAUUAAGUUUAAUUAUGAUUUUUAGAGGAGUGGGGAAAUUAUUAUUAUUAUUUGCAUUCUAAAACAAGAGCUAGUAUCUGUGUGGGAUAUUUAAUUCUGAAAUAGCAUAGCAGUGCUAAAGCUUUUUAAAAUACCUGGUCCCAUAUCUGGCACAUGAUAGGUGUUCAAAAAUAUCAUUAAUUUAGUAAAAGAAUAUUAUUAUUUCAGGAUAUGUUAAUGUAGAAUUUUACAGUUUUCCCUAUAGUUAAUAUCUUUUUAAAAGUAGCUAAUCCAUAAAAUGGCUGUUGAAUUGCAUAUAUUUAAGUUUAACUUAAUGUAAAUCGUUAAUUCCCAAUAUUGCUUAUGAAUAGUGCACUUAUUCUUUUUUUUAAGAUAGAAAACUCAUUUUCUCUGAUUAUCAGAUACAGCUUCUAAAUAAUUGAACAAUCUAAGAGAACAUUUUUUUAAAGGUGCUAUUCUUUUUGGAACUAUAAGUAACUGUUUAAUCUGGAAUUAUUUUAUUCCAUGUGAUUUUUGAUGUAAAUAUGCUACCUAAUAUAUUUUAUUUAAUAUUAAAUGUAUAAGUACUUGUAAGAAUUCAUAAAUUUUUAACAAAUAAUCAACUGAAAAUCAUUUUAGCCAAUAUAAUAAUUACUGUGAUAGAUAUAUUUCCAAUGGUAAGGAUUAUACAGUAUUUUUUCAAUACUUAUUAGCAAGGCAAAUUUAAGUUACAAGCAAAAUUAAAUUAUAGUUUUAUUUGAAAGGUGUUACUCUCUUGGGUGUUCCAAGUAUAGUUAAUACAAGUUGACCUUAUAACCACAAAAUAAUAUACCCAUUCUCUAAAAAUUAAAAUAAUAUGGCUUGUCAGCUAUAACUUUAUUCAGAUAAUUUACAUAUGUUUCAUCUACAGUUUAGUGAUGGAUAUGAUACUUUACAUCCAUUUGAGAAUUUGAGAAUAGGUUCAAUACAAAUUUGUAUAAAGUUUUCAAAAGCAUUUGAUUUCAAAAAGAUUUCUCAUGGUAGAAAUGCAAAGUUUGGAAACUAUUCAUUAUAUUUUUAUUAAGAUAUCUCAUAUUCCUUUCAGUUGCUGGAUGUGGUUGUCCAAAACAACUUUGAGAGUGUUUAAUACUAGGUAUUAGGACGGAGUCAAAAUAUAAGGAUUCUUUACACUGAAAGAAACAGGUUUUUGUUAGUUGUGGCUACUAUAUUAAAAAUCAGGGUUGAUGCUAAAUUUUUGAGACAGUUUCACAUUUAGAUCUGACAAUUUGUGCAGAUAACAAUUGAAUUGGACAAGAGACAAGGGACAAUGAUAGCAAGUAACAAUAUUAAGGAUGUGGACCAUGGAGAGGAUUGUGCAGUUAUGGUGAUGUGUUAAAGAAACCAUAAUGAAAUUAUUGUUGGCUAUUUUAUUGGCAGAUCUAGUAGCUUGUGAUGGGAAGUUGACAAUAUUGGCUUUAUAUAGUGUAUCUAUACAGUAGGAAUGCUUUCAUAGUAUUCAAAUCUUCUUGCUUUUACUUAGAUCAAAAGUCAUGUGCCGGUAUAGAGGUGUGAAUCAAUUAAAAUAGAAAUAGUGUCUGUGUAAAAUAGGCAUAGUUUAUAGGUAGAAAACCGAGAAAGGAAUGGACUCUGGAUGUUUCACAAGUCAAAGGAAAGCCAUCAGUCUUGAAAAGACAAACUUAUGGAAAAUUAAGCCUAAGAGGCACAUGGCUUAAAAGAGACAGUCUUUUCAUCCAUUUUUCUAUGGAAAAUGUAUGUUAUAUUUGAAACUGUACUUUAGAAAUAAAGUAACCUAGGGGAAUUUAUUUAAGAGUGUAUUAGCACUAUCUCUCAAUAUAAAAUGCAGAAUUUGGAUUUUCCUAUUCACUGCAAUUGAUUACAUUUUAGGGAUGAGGGUAUUUGUUAAUUAACCAUGGCAAUGAUAUAGGAGAUUGACAUGCUUGUUCUUCUCUGGCUCAGCCUGUGUAACCAAAGACACAGCAUUUCCACUUGAUCAUUUGUUAUCUUUUGAUAGAAUUAUUUUCCAGUCUAUUAUCCACACAGAAUACAAAAUUUUGUGAGUCUUAUAAGCCCAUAGUAAAUUCAUAUGAUUUUUAGUUGUUAUGGUUACUUUCUAUCUCAAAUCCAGUUAUUUGGUGUCUGGUCCUACAUCCAUGUUUUAUACAUGAUAUUUUCACAACACAGAGAAUCUAAGUAACUUCCCCAUGGAUACCCAAAUAAUAUUUGAAACCCAUUUUCUAAGUCCUCUUUGGAUGUUUUCUUUCUAAUACAUCACACUAAAACUUCAAUAUUGGAGUUUUUCUUCCAACUCUACUCUUCCUGGUAUCUGGCAAUAAUUCUUACAUUCUUCAUACUAGUCAGUUAUUCAUCUGAUUUAACCUUUUUCAAGCUUAAAUAUUGUAUAUAUAGAUGUGAAUGUGCCAAUAGAUUCCAAAGGUCUUAGUGUGCUUAUUCUUAUGUAUAUAUUUUUCAAAACCUAGAAAGAUUUUAUAGGCCAAAUUAAUAAUGUAGAAAUCAUAGAAAUCAUAGUUAAAGGAAUAGCUUGAUCUUUAACCAAGUUGCAAAUAUUUUAGUAAAACAAAGAAAAUUUUAAUAUAAAUUACAUUAACUCAAUUUAAUAAGCUUCCAAAUGAAAGUAUUGGCUCAGAAAUUAGAAUGACAAGUAUUUGUCAUGAAGUAUAUUCAAUGGAAAAUUAAAAAUGAGAUUACCAAAUGCUGACCCAAUGAUGUGCUCACAUCAAAGAACAUUAAUAAAAUCACAUUUUAAUGUAUAAAUUAAAAUUGUAUUUAUGCUUUUAUUCCAUUUUUAAAUAUUCAAAGCUGUCUUAUUAAAUAAAGACAGACUGACUCUUGGAGCAAAAUCAAAAUAAAAUUCUCAGUUUUAUACUAAAACCUUGUCCACUGCUGUUGUGCUAUUUAUGCAGAUUGUAUGGUGGUCAUCCACUGAUACAUCUGUGUUACCUAUGGUGUUACUCAUUUAGGAUGCCAAGAGAGUGAUUUCUUGCUGUGGUCACCCAACUUAUCAAAGAAAUGUACUUCUUAUACUUGAAAGACAAAAGCUCCCAAAUCAGAGCUCUAUCACAGCAGUAAGCGUUUACUUGAAAAAAUGGUGUAGCUAUCAUUGUUUUAAAAUUUACCAAGACAAAAUGAUAUCUUUUGACUACCUUGUCCCCAUCAAAAGGUUUUCCCUUUUCUUUAAUUAUAAACUACAACCAUAAGUAAUUAUACUCAUUAUUACUCAAUUUCAAAAAAAAUAAAAUGUAGAUACAACUGUAAGAAAUAAGAGAAGUGGUGAGGGGGAAGAGAGAGAGAGAGAGAGAGAGAGAUCAUUUUCUGAUCUACUUUGGUGCUGGAUUGAAGGUAAUACAGUGGCAAAAUUGAUUCAGGGAAGUAAUACUUAAAUAAUCAGCAUUUUGUUCAAGGAAAGAUGUUUUAUGGAUUCCUAUAAUUUGGUCAAGAACAGAAGGCUUUAAAAUUUGUAAAGGAUAGAUUUUAAUCCUCAAACCAGCUAAUUAAGCUUCUUCUGUACAACAUACAGUUUUAAGUUAACAGUAAUUAAUAGAGCCAGCUUGGAACCUCAGGAAGCUAAAGCCAGCAAGUGCUUUUUGGUUCACUCAAGAGGAUGCAGUUUGAUUGCUGGCGCCAGUAAACAGGUUGGGAAUUGUCAACAUUGUAAUUAGCAGCAAGUUUCUGGAUUCUCAGCCUGCCAGACUAGUGGGCUGAUGCUUGGAGCAGUUGCCCCAGGGGGGAGAGGGAAAAACAAAGGAAGGGAAUUUGAGCAACCUUGCAAUGCUCUGCCAGCAUAUGCCACUGGACCAGUGUUUUUCUUGGCAAAGGUCUAUUUUAAGAUAUCUAGCAGUGGUUUCCACAAAAUAUGAAACUCACCAUAGCAACCAAAAUGGCAAGUAUCUCAAAGAACCUUUUCUUGAUUGGAUAUCAGAUCAAACUGUGUCCAGAGCUAUAUUGCCUUAUGGGCAGUAUGCGCUGUGCUCUGCACAAUGUGGUUAUUAUGAGCAUUAUUAAAAGGGUUAAAAUCUGUUUUGGCAGCAAUCCUGAAAUACUCUGCCGAAAAGCCGUCAAAGAAUAAGGUUACGCAAACCUUAUUAACCCUUCGUGUAGUACAAACAGAAAGGAAAUGUCAACCUGAGUACCACCAGGAAUCCAAUCCUCAACAUUUAAAUGAUUAUUUAAAUGUAGUUUUCUUAAAUCAAAGCCAUGGGAUCAUGGUGGAGAAAGUUUGUUAUAGAUUUGAAAUCCAAACAGUAUCUGCAAUGCUUCUAAGACUAAGGAUUAAUAAAGCUUAUGGGUAAUUUAUAACCCAACUGAACAAAAAUAAGGCUAGCUUCAGGAAUCUACUUGAUAAAAGUUCAUGCACAUACGUGUAAAAUUUCACUGAUCUUAUAGCAGAAUAUGACCUGAAAUAAAUGAUAUAUAUACUCUGGUAGUUACAGGAUAAGUACUAAAUCCACCUACCUUGUGGCAAAAGCAUAGUAACAAUUUUUUUUUCUUUAAGGCAGCUCUGAAGUAAAUUAAUUUUACCUUCCACUUGAAAAAGGUCAAGGUUGCUGAGCAUUGCUAAAAUACACAUAUUAAUUUCUCCCAAAUAAAAAAGCUUAGAAUCCUAUCAGGGACAUUCUUACUGUCACUUACUUUUGCCAAAAUAUGAGGAAGAGGCUUCGAAGAGAUAAACAGGAUGCAGAGACAAACAAAAUAGCUUUCUUUACUGUAAAAAAAAAAGCAUUCUUAAAUGGAUCAAUGUGCUAUAUUAAGCAAUUGCCAUGUGGCCAUUUCUGCUGCUGGAUUAUCAAAAGUACCCAAGAAAUGGCUGUGUAGAUUUGGCACCCAGGUGUCUGGUGUUGCAUUUAGCAGACUCUUUUGUGGGGAGAAGGAUUACUCAUAUUUGUUGGAGAGAGUGCAAUUCUCUAAUCCUCCUCCACAACAGAAUCCUUGUUGGAGUGAACCAGCAACAGGAUUCUUAUCCACUCUCCUCUAGACUCUGAGGAAUUCUCCACAAUUAUUUAUUAUUUUCAGUGGAAUUAGAUGCCUACAGGUGGCCUCAUAAUGUGCUUCCAGGCAUACAACCUGCUGUAAAUUUUUAAGUUACAUUAACUCAGCAGUAUGUUGUCUUAUAACAACAGUUCAUUCAGUUUAUGAGGAAAGGGAGAAGGAAGCAGAAAGGCAGUCUUUCGUGUUAAGCACCAUUACAGUUCUGUUCCACCCUGUUCUUCCUUUGACGUUAGUAAAGGAUAUUUUCCAGAAGCAGCACUGCUGGCUUGUUAGUGUGGGCUGCGCAUCCUUAUGGAAUCAGGUGGGGGGUGGGGGGGAGACACAGCCAGCAGACCUCACUAUAGUGUCUCAGGGACUGGUAUAGUGGGUGUCAAUUAAAAACAGAUGCAGAGCAGUACUUUUUCUUUUUUUUUAAGGCCUUAAAUGACUUCUGUUAUUAAAAACUAUUUUGUCUUUAGUGGUUUUUCAUACUGUGUUAGAAAAAAUUCAGCUCUAUCAAGACAUUUGGGUUUAUCAAGUCUUUCUGCAAUUUCUCCCCUAACACACAUCCUAUAUGCUAUAAUUUUUUUUCCUGGCCUUUUAGGUUACCAAUCGGUGAGAGAAGGAGGGGACUCCUUCAUAACUUUUUUGUCAUUGAUAUUCAUGCUUAUCCUGCCUUUAUAAUGAUGCAAUUGUCCACUCAAUGUAUACAGCCUAUCACCCCUGCACAUUUUAGGCUACGAUUCUCAGAACUGAUGAAAAAACAAAGAUAAUAUACUUUAGGGGCAGAAAUCAGAUUAACAUUUUAGGGGCAAUACACAGGUCUAUUUAAGCCUCAGAAGUCCUACUACUAGGUUAUAAAACCUUUUUUCACGACCAUAAACAGAAUGAAAUCUGUGUGUUACCAUUCUAGUCUCAUUAAGCCUGUAGCUUAUACUACAAGUAACGAUGAUACAUGCAUUUUAAGUAUAUAUUUUAUGUGUACAAAGUCAUAUCUAUAUUAUUAAAAACAAAACUUUUUAAAAUGUAGAAACAUGUUUUUAUUUUCAUGCCUGUACUACAGACAUGGGCAAAAUUAGUAACCUAAAGUCAAUCUAACACUAACAAAGUUACCUGGCUCAAUGCAAGGAUAUUUAGACCUCUCCACUUUUCAUUUUAUAGUAUCUGACAAACAUGCUGAGAUCAAGCAGCUUAUAUGUUCAAGAGGUAGGAUGUCUUUCAGAAUAAAUCAGUGAAUAUCUAUUAUGCAUGUACUAUUCAUGAAGUAUUCAGGUCUGUCAAUAUUUAUUAAGCCCCUACUAUGUUCCUGGAAUUCUUCUAAAUGUUAGAGUUAUAUUGCCCUGAAAGCAUUCACGCCCUAUAGGACAGCUCACAAUUCAGGUUCUUAGGAGCUCUGUGGGGAAUUCAAAAGAAUGUAAAACAAUAUCCUCCUUUCAAGUAACUUACUAGAUUGUGGUUAAUAGAGCAAAUAUUAAAUAGUGUAAAUAUGACUGUUGCUAGAAGCUAUUACUAUUGUCUCCAUUCACCAGAAGACACUUACAAUCACAGAUAUAAUAAUAAUAAUCCUCUAUAGAAAUGGAUUUACUGUUUUUUUUCCCCUCAGAAUAUAGACACUUUUUCAAAACUUAAUAGACCAAGGAAGUACUCGAUAGGAAAAGAAUAAAAUACACAUAUUUUCACCUCAAAGCAAGUUACUCUAUUACUAUUCCUAUAUUAUUGUAACACAUUUAUAAUUACACAAAAUUAUAUCCUAGCAAAAAUUAUUAGUGUAUUUAUGGUUAUCAUAAAAUUUAUUUUAGUAACUGUAAAAUGAUAGUGAAUAUCUCUAAUUCCCAAAUCCAUUAAUAAUAAUAGGUUCCAGAGUCAAUAAAUGUCUUUUGAGAACAUGAUAAUAGCUUUAUCAAAGAAAGUGCUAAAAGUACUAUGCUACCGUUUAAAUCAGUGGUUGUCAAAAUGUGGUCCCUUGAUCAGUCACCUAGCCUCACCUGGGAACUUCUUACAAAUGCAGAUUCUCGGUUGGCAUUAUGCGUCCAAUGAAUCUAAAACUCUGGAGGUGGGGUUCCUAAUCUGUGUUUUAACAAGCCUGAUUCUGAUGCCUGCUAGAAUUUGAGAAGCACUCCUUUCUAUUGAUUCAAGUCAGGUUCUUGCAACACUGAUCCAAAUCACUUAAGUUCUGUUGUAGAUUUAUAGUAACAAGUUAUUAUUAUCAAUUAUAGCAGAUAUUUUAAAUUAAAAAUCAGAACUUUACCUGACUGGCAAAUUCUGUAACAUUUGGGAAAUGUUUUAAACUUCCUUACAUAGACCCUUAUUAGUAUUAUAUAAUACU